GAUGAACGCUGGCGGCGUGCUUAACACAUGCAAGUCGAACGAAGCACUUUAACCUGAUUCUUCGGAUGAAGGUUUUUGUGACUGAGUGGCGGACGGGUGAGUAACGCGUGGGUAACCUGCCUCAUACAGGGGGAUAACAGUUAGAAAUGACUGCUAAUACCGCAUAAGACCACAGAGCCGCAUGGCUCGGUGGGAAAAACUCCGGUGGUAUGAGAUGGACCCGCGUCUGAUUAGGUAGUUGUUGGGGUAACGGCCUACCAAGCCAACGAUCAGUAGCCGACCUGAGAGGGUGACCGGCCACAUUGGGACUGAGACACGGCCCAAACUCCUACGGGAGGCAGCAGUGGGGAAUAUUGCACAAUGGGGGAAACCCUGAUGCAGCGACGCCGCGUGAGCGAAGAAGUAUUUCGGUAUGUAAAGCUCUAUCAGCAGGGAAGAAAAUGACGGUACCUGACUAAGAAGCACCGGCUAAAUACGUG
rnacentral:rRNA from 1 species